rnacentral:rRNA from 1 species
GAUGAACGCUGGCGGCGUGCCUAAUACAUGCAAGUCGAGCGAACAGACGAGGAGCUUGCUCCUCUGACGUUAGCGGCGGACGGGUGAGUAACACGUGGAUAACCUACCUAUAAGACUGGGAUAACUUCGGGAAACCGGAGCUAAUACCGGAUAAUAUAUUGAACCGCAUGGUUCAAUAGUGAAAGACGGUUUUGCUGUCACUUAUAGAUGGAUCCGCGCCGCAUUAGCUAGUUGGUAAGGUAACGGCUUACCAAGGCGACGAUGCGUAGCCGACCUGAGAGGGUGAUCGGCCACACGGGAACUGAGACACGGCCCAGACUCCUACGGGAGGCAGCAGUAGGGAAUCUUCCGCAAUGGGCGAAAGCCUGACGGAGCAACGCCGCGUGAGUGAUGAAGGUCUUCGGAUCGUAAAACUCUGUUAUUAGGGAAGAACAAAUGUGUAAGUAACUAUGCACGUCUUGACGGUACCUAAUCAGAAAGCCACGGCUAACUACGUG